rnacentral:siRNA from 1 species
UUCGAAGGUCGUCUACUCGAUA